rnacentral:rRNA from 1 species
GGGUUGUGAGGUUAAGCGACUAAGCGUACACGGUGGAUGCCCUGGCAGUCAGAGGCGAUGAAGGGCGUGCUAAUCUGCGAUAAGCGCCGGUAAGGUGAUAUGAACCGUUAUAACCGGCGAUACCCGAAUGGGGAAACCCAGUGUGAUUCGUCACACUAUCAUUAACUGAAUCCAUAGGUUAAUGAGGCGAACCGGGGGAACUGAAACAUCUAAGUACCCCGAGGAAAAGAAAUCAACCGAGAUUCCCCCAGUAGCGGCGAGCGAACGGGGAGGAGCCCAGAGCCUGAAUCAGCAUGUGUGUUAGUGGAAGCGUCUGGAAAGGCGCGCGAUACAGGGUGACAGCCCCGUACACAAAAGCGCAUGUGCUGUGAGCUCGAUGAGUAGGGCGGGACACGUGGUAUCCUGUCUGAAUAUGGGGGGACCAUCCUCCAAGGCUAAAUACUCCUGACUGACCGAUAGUGAACCAGUACCGUGAGGGAAAGGCGAAAAGAACCCCGGCGAGGGGAGUGAAAAAGAACCUGAAACCGUGUACGUACAAGCAGUGGGAGCNNNNNNNNNNNNNNNNNNNNNNNNNNNNNNNNNNNNNNNNNNNNNNNNNNNNNNNNNNNNNNNNNNNNNGGGCGUUAAGUUGCAGGGUAUAGACCCGAAACCCGGUGAUCUAGCCAUGGGCAGGUUGAAGGUUGGGUAACACUAACUGGAGGACCGAACCGACUAAUGUUGAAAAAUUAGCGGAUGACCUGUGGCUGGGGGUGAAAGGCCAAUCAAACCGGGAGAUAGCUGGUUCUCCCCGAAAGCUAUUUAGGUAGCGCCUCGUGAAUUCAUCUCCGGGGGUAGAGCACUGUUUCGGCUAGGGGGCCAUCCCGGCUUACCAACCCGAUGCAAACUGCGAAUACCGGAGAAUGUUAUCACGGGAGACACACGGCGGGUGCUAACGUCCGUCGUGAAGAGGGAAACAACCCAGACCGCCAGCUAAGGUCCCAAAGUCAUGGUUAAGUGGGAAACGAUGUGGGAAGGCCCAGACAGCCAGGAUGUUGGCUUAGAAGCAGCCAUCAUUUAAAGAAAGCGUAAUAGCUCACUGGUCGAGUCGGCCUGCGCGGAAGAUGUAACGGGGCUAAACCAUGCACCGAAGCUGCGGCAGCGACACUGUGUGUUGUUGGGUAGGGGAGCGUUCUGUAAGCCUGUGAAGGUGUGUCGUGAGGCAUGCUGGAGGUAUCAGAAGUGCGAAUGCUGACAUAAGUAACGAUAAAGCGGGUGAAAAGCCCGCUCGCCGGAAGACCAAGGGUUCCUGUCCAACGUUAAUCGGGGCAGGGUGAGUCGACCCCUAAGGCGAGGCCGAAAGGCGUAGUCGAUGGGAAACGGGUUAAUAUUCCCGUACUUGGUGUUACUGCGAAGGGGGGACGGAGAAGGCUAUGUUGGCCGGGCGACGGUUGUCCCGGUUUAAGCGUGUAGGUGUGUGUUCCAGGUAAAUCCGGUUCACUUUAACACUGAGGCGUGACGACGAGGCACUACGGUGCUGAAGCAACAAAUGCCCUGCUUCCAGGAAAAGCCUCUAAGCAUCAGGUAACAUCAAAUCGUACCCCAAACCGACACAGGUGGUCAGGUAGAGAAUACCAAGGCGCUUGAGAGAACUCGGGUGAAGGAACUAGGCAAAAUGGUGCCGUAACUUCGGGAGAAGGCACGCUGACACGUAGGUGAAGUGAUUUACUCAUGGAGCUGAAGUCAGUCGAAGAUACCAGCUGGCUGCAACUGUUUAUUAAAAACACAGCACUGUGCAAACACGAAAGUGGACGUAUACGGUGUGACGCCUGCCCGGUGCCGGAAGGUUAAUUGAUGGGGUCAGCGCAAGCGAAGCUCCUGAUCGAAGCCCCGGUAAACGGCGGCCGUAACUAUAACGGUCCUAAGGUAGCGAAAUUCCUUGUCGGGUAAGUUCCGACCUGCACGAAUGGCGUAAUGAUGGCCAGGCUGUCUCCACCCGAGACUCAGUGAAAUUGAACUCGCUGUGAAGAUGCAGUGUACCCGCGGCAAGACGGAAAGACCCCGUGAACCUUUACUAUAGCUUGACACUGAACAUUGAGCCUUGAUGUGUAGGAUAGGUGGGAGGCUUUGAAGUGUGGACGCCAGUCUGCAUGGAGCCGACCUUGAAAUACCACCCUUUAAUGUUUGAUGUUCUAACGUGGACCCGUUACCCGGGUUGCGGACAGUGUCUGGUGGGUAGUUUGACUGGGGCGGUCUCCUCCUAAAGAGUAACGGAGGAGCACGAAGGUUGGCUAAUCCUGGUCGGACAUCAGGAGGUUAGUGCAAUGGCAUAAGCCAGCUUGACUGCGAGCGUGACGGCGCGAGCAGGUGCGAAAGCAGGUCAUAGUGAUCCGGUGGUUCUGAAUGGAAGGGCCAUCGCUCAACGGAUAAAAGGUACUCCGGGGAUAACAGGCUGAUACCGCCCAAGAGUUCAUAUCGACGGCGGUGUUUGGCACCUCGAUGUCGGCUCAUCACAUCCUGGGGCUGAAGUAGGUCCCAAGGGUAUGGCUGUUCGCCAUUUAAAGUGGUACGCGAGCUGGGUUUAGAACGUCGUGAGACAGUUCGGUCCCUAUCUGCCGUGGGCGCUGGAGAACUGAGGGGGGCUGCUCCUAGUACGAGAGGACCGGAGUGGACGCAUCACUGGUGUUCGGGUUGUCAUGCCAAUGGCACUGCCCGGUAGCUAAAUGCGGAAGAGAUAAGUGCUGAAAGCAUCUAAGCACGAAACUUGCCCCGAGAUGAGUUCUCCCUGAGACUUAAAGUCUCCUGAAGGAACGUUGAAGACGACGACGUUGAUAGGCCGGGUGUGUAAGCGCAGCGAUGCGUUGAGCUAACCGGUACUAAUGAACCGUGAGGCUUAACCUUACAACGCCGAAG